UUAAAAAUAUUGAUAAUGGGACGGAAGAAUUUGGUAUUUUUGCAAAAUCUUUACAACCUUUUCGUGACACGUGAACGACUUUCGUCCCUUCUCUUCUUUCUGAGCUUAGGCCUGCUUCUCCUCGCCUCCCACCGUCCAUCUCUAUAUAUCUUCCUCCUCGGUGCUUUCACAGAAAACCCUAAUCUCCGUCCCUGCUCGAGCCAUAAGAAAGGCGAGAGUAUGGCAUGGGACGGAGGGGUGCACCCAGAUUGUCCUAAUGCUACAAAUCCCUUCCAUAUCUGCGCUGAGUAUUGCCCUCAUGGACCUCUUCCUCGAUCAAAAAAUCCGGCUAAUAAAGAGAUUUUAGUUUCUAAUGGUCUUAGUAGCAAGGAGAACGGCGAGAAGGUGGAAGGGGGAAGACGGAGAACUGUGGAUCCGUUGUGUGUGAACGCGUCCAAUCCGUUUCACCAAUGUUCCGAUAAUUGCGUACGGAGAAAACACGAUGGGAAGUCGCCAUUAAAAGGGACUAUUACAGGUGAAAUAGGUGGAAGAAAGGAUAAAGUGGUGAUUUCGGAAAAUAGAAAGGUGAAUACGAGCUGCCCUAAUGCAUCUAAUCCUUUCCAUCAGUGCGCUGAAUACUGCUCUAAGAGAAGUGAAGGCGCAGGUCAAGUUAAACGGGGGAACUCAGGUGGAUCGUCUAGCAAAAAAGGUUUGGUAGUUGCAGAGAGAAAGGAUGUGAAUCCAUCAUGUCCAAAUGCAUCAAAUCCCUUUCAUAAAUGUACUGAACACUGCUCCCAGACUCGGAAAUCGAAUGGAGCGUCGUAGCUGAAUCCCUGGGCAUAAGGUUUUGCAACCCAAAAUCCAACGCCCGUUGAUAUUUUGCUAGACUAUUUAAUAGAAGUAUUCUCUUAUUGCACGUUUAACUUAGUUUUAUAUGCUACAAGAUGGCUCAUUUGUUGGGCAAUUAUAUUUUAUAAGGAACUAUUAUUGUUACAGGAAAUGAAAUCCAAUAUUAUGGGAUAUCUUCUUCCUGAACUUUAUAAGAAAAUUAGUCAAAUUUUCAAGUCAAACAGAAGGCGUUCAGUUUGGUUCCCAUCAUGCAGGGAAAGAUUAUUAUGUGCGGAUGCCAGACGUAGCUCUAUGUCCAAAGAUGAAUCAGGUGCAGUCACGUCAGCGGUAUCAAGCCGAGUACCGAGCGGUGCGAGCAAUACCAAGCCGCUAUCCCAAGCGAAGGAAUGACGUGGCGCAUUCUGAUUUGUCUAUAGAUGACGUUCGGCAUUGACACAAAGGACGGGGCAAUUAUUCAUACCCAGAGGAAACCAUCGUUUACUUUUCUAAGGGAAUUCCAACAAGAAAAACUCCGGUCUUGUUCAAACCUAAAGUUUAAUAUCUUAAGAAUAUUUCUUAGCUUGUAUGAACAUCCUGCACGCGUACAAAUAAAGAGAAGUUCAACAA